AACGCUGGCGGUAGGCCUAACACAUGCAAGUCGAACGGCAGCACAGUAAGAGCUUGCUCUUAUGGGUGGCGAGUGGCGGACGGGUGAGGAAUACAUCGGAAUCUACCUUUUCGUGGGGGAUAACGUAGGGAAACUUACGCUAAUACCGCAUACGACCUUCGGGUGAAAGCAGGGGACUUCGGGCCUUGCGCGGAUAGAUGAGCCGAUGUCGGAUUAGCUAGUUGGCGGGGUAAAGGCCCACCAAGGCGACGAUCCGUAGCUGGUCUGAGAGGAUGAUCAGCCACACUGGAACUGAGACACGGUCCAGACUCCUACGGGAGGCAGCAGUGGGGAAUAUUGGACAAUGGGCGCAAGCCUGAUCCAGCCAUACCGCGUGGGUGAAGAAGGCCUUCGGGUUGUAAAGCCCUUUUGUUGGGAAAGAAAAGCAGUCGAUUAAUACUCGGUUGUUCUGACGGUACCCAAAGAAUAAGCACCGGCUAACUUCGUGCCAGCAGCCGCGGUAAUACGAAGGGUGCAAGCGUUACUCGGAAUUACUGGGCGUAAAGCGUGCGUAGGUGGUUGUUUAAGUCUGUUGUGAAAGCCCUGGGCUCAACCUGGGAAUUGCAGUGGAUACUGGGCGACUAGAGUGUGGUAGAGGGUAGUGGAAUUCCCGGUGUAGCAGUGAAAUGCGUAGAGAUCGGGAGGAACAUCCAUGGCGAAGGCAGCUACCUGGACCAACACUGACACUGAGGCACGAAAGCGUGGGGAGCAAACAGGAUU
rnacentral:rRNA from 1 species